rfam:Ixodes scapularis strain Wikel colony gcontig_1107728866590, whole genome shotgun sequence.
GCAGUCGUGGCCGAGUGGUUAAGGGGAUGGGCUAGAAAUCCACACCGCACAGGUUCGAAUCCUGUCGACUGCG